rnacentral:rRNA from 1 species
GAGGAAUAUUGGUCAAUGGGCGCAAGCCUGAACCAGCCAUCCCGCGUGAAGGAAGAAUGCGCUAUGCGUUGUAAACUUCUUUUCCAGGGGAAGAAACUCAUCUACGAGUAGGUGAUUGCCGGUACCCUGGGAAUAAGCAUCGGCUAACUCCGUGCCAGCAGCCGCGGUAAUACGGAGGAUGCGAGCGUUAUCCGGAUUUAUUGGGUUUAAAGGGUGCGUAGGCGGAUUAAUAAGUCAGUGGUGAAAUGCUGCAGCUUAACUGUAGAAUUGCCGUUGAUACUGUUAGUCUUGAGUAUGGUUAAGGUAGGCGGAAUGUGUAAUGUAGCGGUGAAAUGCUUAGAUAUUACACAGAACACCGAUUGCGAAGGCAGCUUACUGAACCACAACUGACGCUGAUGCACGAAAGCGUGGGGAGCGAAC